rnacentral:tRNA from 1 species
UUUAGGACAGCUUUUAGUAUAUUGUUGAAGACAAUAAGAUGCA